GGGCCCGCACAAGCGGUGGAGUAUGUGGUUUAAUUCGAUGCAACGCGAAGAACCUUACCAGGGUUUGACAUCCUGCGAAUUUCUGGGAAACCGGAAAGUGCCUUCGGGAGCGCAGUGACAGGUGGUGCAUGGCUGUCGUCAGCUCGUGUCGUGAGAUGUUGGGUUAAGUCCCGCAACGAGCGCAACCCACGUCUUUAGUUGCCAGCAUUUAGUUGGGGCACUCUAGAGAGACCGCCGGUGAUAAACCCGGAGGAAGGUGUGGAUGACGUCAAGUCAUCAUGGCCCUUACGGCCUGGGCUACACACGUGCUACAAUGGCUAGGACAGACGGCCGCAAACCCGCGAGGGGGGAG
rnacentral:rRNA from 1 species